GCUGACACAUCCCUGCCAAUCUCUGGCAGACCCUCCCUCCCAGACCCUCCCACCUCCUGGACAGCAUCCAUGUUGAAGCUGCCUUCAAAAUGGAUGCUGUCCAGGAGGUGGGAGGGUCUGGGAGGGAGGGUCUGCCGGAGAUUGGCAGGGAUGUGUCAG
rnacentral:miRNA from 1 species